AACCUUUACACUGCACGACAGUGCGAUAAGGGAAUCCCAAGUGCGUAGGCAUAGAGCCUACGCUUUUGUCCACCGUAGGGAGGUGGACGAAUAAGGGCUGGGCAAGACCGGUGCCAGCCGCCGCGGUAAUACCGGCAGCCCGAGUGAUGGCCGAUCUUAUUGGGCCUAAAGCGUCCGUAGCUGGCCGCGCAAGUCUAUCGGAAAAUCCACCCGCUCAACGGGUGGGCGUCCGGUAGAAACUGCGUGGCUUGGGACCGGAAGGCGCGACGGGUACGUCCGGGGUAGGAGUGAAAUCCCGUAAUCCUGGACGGACCACCGAUGGCGAAAGCACCUUGAGAGGACGGACCCGACGGUGAGGGACGAAAGCCAGGGUCUCGAACCGGAUUAGAUACCCGGGUAGUCCUGGCCGUAAACGAUGUUCGCUAGGUGUGGCGCAGGCUACGAGCCUGCGCUGUGCCGUAGGGAAGCCGUGAAGCGAACCGCCUGGGAAGUACGUCUGCAAGGAUGAAACUUAA
rnacentral:rRNA from 1 species